AGAGUUUGAUCCUGGCUCAGGAUGAACGCUAGCGGCAGGCCUAAUACACGCAAGUCGAGGGGCAGCGCAGGUAGCAAUACUGGGCGGCGACCGGCAAACGGGUGCGGAACACGUACGCAACCUUCCUUCAAGCGGGGAAUAGCCCAGAGAAACUUGGAUUAAUACCCCAUAAGAAUGUGGCCUGGCAUCAGGUAGCAUUUAAAGAUUUAUCACUUGAAGAUGGGCGUGCGUCUGAUUAGGUAGUUGGUGGGGUAACGGCUCACCAAGCCGACGAUCAGUAACUGGCGUGAGAGCGCGACCAGUCACACGGGCACUGAGACACGGGCCCGACUCCUACGGGAGGCAGCAGUAAGGAAUAUUGGUCAAUGGACGCAAGUCUGAACCAGCCAUGCCGCGUGGAGGAUGAAGGCCCUCUGGGUUGUAAACUUCUUGUAUUUGGGACGAAACACUUCUUUCUAAGGAGCUUG
rnacentral:rRNA from 1 species